GGGGACGUAGCUCAGUGGUAGAGUGCUUGCCUAGCAUACCCAAGACCCUGGGUUCAAUCCCCUGUUCCCU
rnacentral:tRNA from 1 species